AAAUAAGAGAGCUUCAUCAGAGCAUCCAAAUACAAGAGAAAUACGUAGACAAAAGGUAAUCUUUGAUGAAAACAACAAAUGGCAAGAAACAGCGCCUUUAGGUAAUAGGUAUUACAAAUCACAGGAUAAGGACUACAAACAGCCAAUUUUGAUCAAUGAGUAAAAUUACAUCAUCGGUUGUCAAUUCUAAGCAAAGAAGUUUCACUCACGAUGUUACUACUCAUUAUCAGCUUUUGAUGGUUCUUUGAUCUCAUCAGUUCCAUCAUCCUGCAUAUCCGAGGUCCACAAAGUGAGGUUAUCACGCAGAAGUUGCAUAAUCAAAGUGCUA
rnacentral:misc_RNA from 1 species